UACGUAGGGGGCAAGCGUUGUCCGGAUUUAUUGGGCGCAAAGAGCGUGUAGGCGGCCAUACAGGUCCGUUGUGAAAACUCGAGGCUCAACCUCGAGACGUCGAUGGAAACCGUAUGGCUAGAGUCCGGAAGAGGAGAGUGGAAUUCCCGGUGUAGCGGUGAAAUGCGCAGAUAUCGGGAAGAACACCCGUGGCGAAGGCGGCUCUCUGGGACGGUACUGACGCUGAGACGCGAAAGCGUGGGGAGCGAACAGG
rnacentral:rRNA from 1 species